AUGGCAGACCUCGGUUUCCUUGUACCUAAAAGCGGACCAGCCUUAUGUUACAGCCACAGCCCAGGCUGCAGCAGAAGCUUAAAUGGAAUCGUGAGUUCUGCCACGUACUCUGCUUCAGAAGUUCCGGGGAGCAGAGGACACUCGAGGUCGCAUCCUCAGUGUGGCCUGGAUCCUUCUCCCCUUUUGUUCUCCUGGAGAACGUCUUGCAGUAUAGCUGAUCCUGGAUGUCGGAGAGGUCACAUGUGACUCUGAGCAGUAUGUCUGGUGUGGAGGCGUAAGAGAGGCCUGAUGCCCACGGAGGAUUUCACGUGUUAACAGGAUGGCCCUGUACACAGAAGCAACCAAGGGCCCCAGCACGGGGACACCAGCACCGGAUAGCACCUCAUAAGGACAAGACACUGAAUUUCUCCUUUGCCCUCUCAUGGAAGUCAUCUGCGAUCCCUCCGGGGGUGAGUAUUGUGUGUGCCCUGAGAUGGUCCCUGAGGGCGGCCAUAUGGACCCGCGUGCUGCCAGGCUGGCUGUGUGCCCCAGAUCCUGAGCUGUCGGUGGAGACAGGGGUCGAGCCCAGAGACCCCAGCCAGAAUUACUUUGGCACGUGUUUUCAUUUCUACCUGAACUUUGAGAAGCACGGACAUUCCCCCAAAUCCAUUUUCCUCGUUUGCUGGGGCAGACGCCGCUCGUUUAUGGCCCUGGGAAGGAAGACAUCACACCUCAAGUGCCAUUCCGAUCCCGGAAUGUCAUCAGGACCACCCCCGCGCUGA
ensembl:lncRNA